rnacentral:rRNA from 1 species
CCUACGGGUGGCAGCAGUGAGGAAUAUUGGUCAAUGGACGAGAGUCUGAACCAGCCAAGUAGCGUGAAGGAUGACUGCCCUAUGGGUUGUAAACUUCUUUUAUAUGGGAAUAAAAUGUUCCACGUGUGGGAUUUUGUAUGUACCAUAUGAAUAAGGAUCGGCUAACUCCGUGCCAGCAGCCGCGGUAAUACGGAGGAUCCGAGCGUUAUCCGGAUUUAUUGGGUUGAAAGGGAGCGUAGGUGGAUUGUUAAGUCAGUUGUGAAAGUUUGUGGCUCAACCGUAAAAUUGCAGUUGAAACUGGCAGUCUUGAGUACAGUAGAGGUGGGCGGAAUUCGUGGUGUAGCGGUGAAAUGCUUAGAUAUCACGAAGAACUCCGAUUGCGAAGGCAGUUCACUGGACUGCAACUGACACUGAGGCUCGAAAGUGUGGGUAUCAAACAGGAUUAGAUACCCGAGUAGUC